rnacentral:rRNA from 1 species
GACGGAGGGCGCGGGUGUUAUUCGUUUUGAUUGGGUGUAAAGGGUACGUAGGUGGUUCCUGGUGUCUUGGCCAAAAGCGCGGAGUGUUCCUACGCGAUGGCCUUUUAGAAAGGGAACUUGAGUUGAAGAUAGGUAGGGGCAAAUUUUCAUGUAGGGGUAAAAUCCUGCCAUAUGAGAAUGAACACCAGCCGGCGAAGGCGCCUUUCCGGUUUCAACUGACGCUAAGGUACGGAAGCUUAGGUAUCAAACGGG